UGGCUCAGAACGAACGCUGGCGGCAGGCUUAACACAUGCAAGUCGAGCGGGCGUAGCAAUACGUCAGCGGCAGACGGGUGAGUAACGCGUGGGAACGUACCUUUUGGUUCGGAACAACCCAGGGAAACUUGGGCUAAUACCGGAUAAGCCCUUACGGGGAAAGAUUUAUCGCCGAAAGAUCGGCCCGCGUCUGAUUAGCUAGUUGGUGAGGUAAUGGCUCACCAAGGCGACGAUCAAUAGCUGGUCUGAGAGGAUGAUCAGCCACACUGGGACUG
rnacentral:rRNA from 1 species